UCGAUCGAUACAUUUCAGGUGCUCAGAAACGCGAAGUAUACAUAUUCAGUUUCAUGCAUUCUUGAUUGUAGAUUCUCUCAGUUUCUUUGCUCGAUCCCUUAGCUUGUUCACAAGUCCAAUACUACAAGAACUGCAUACUGGCUGGAGCUGAAUAUGUGUAGCAGUUGCUGGAGCUGGGAUGGCUGGCGUCGUAAUUAGUAUCCAUGUGAAGGGUCUUAUGUUCCUGAUAAUUGACGUUUCUCUUUAGGUAGCUAUACACAACUUGCGGGAACUGAAUUUUCUGUAAGAGGUCCAUAAAAUUGUCGUACUAGAGGAACUUGUAUUUGUGCGGUUCAGCUUGUAGAGUUCAUGACGGAGAAUAUGCACCAUCCUGCUCAACAUAGCCAUACACGAGAUGCUGCUGCAAAUCUUAGUCGUAAUAAGGAUCAGAAUUCCUUAUCAUUAUUAGUAUCGGAACGUACCAGUGAACAACAUAUACAACAGAACGAACAGAAAAAGACACUACUUCAGAAACUUCAAGGUACAAGCUGGGAUACCAUACUUGUAAUCUCAUGUGUGAUUGCAGUUACAGUUGAUCCUUUGUUCUUUUACCUUCCGAUCAUUAACGAGGAAAUCAAGUGCCUUGGAGUGGACAAAAAUUUGAGGACUGCUGCUUAUCUUUUGCGAUCAGUCACUGAUAUUGCUUUCAUCGGGAACAUUUUCUAUUACAUUAAGAAUGUCACCGGAGAUGUACAAUCUACAGCGAAGACGAUACAAAAAAAAAGGAAAAAAUAUUGAAAAAAAUAAGCAUCCGAGAAUUUGGUUUGCAAGGGAAUUAGCUCGUAAGAUGCCAUGGCACUCGAUUCUAAUUGACAUUCUUGCUGUUCUCCCUAUCCCACAAGUGCUAAUGGCUGUUUUCUUCAAAAUGAGAAGCUCCAAAUAUCUUGACUGAAGAAAGAUAAUUGAUGUGUUUCUUCUCCUUCAAUAUUUGCCAAGGAUUUAUCAAUACAUCAUUCGUCAAACAAAAUUAGGCAAAAGGAAGAAGUAUGGAUCAGAGGUGCAUUCUAUUUUUUCUUAUACAUCCUUGCCAGUCAUGUAAGUUUCGUCAUUAUUUAACUUUGUUUAAUCUUUAUUUUUGUCAAUUAACAAUGGUUUCGCCCUGAGGAUUGGGCCGUGGCUCAAGAGU